rnacentral:tRNA from 2 species
GGAGAGAUGGCCGAGUUGGCUGAAGGCGCUCGCCUGCUAAGCGAGUGUAGGGGGUAAACCUCUACCUCGGGUUCGAAUCCCGAUCUCUCCGCCA